AACGAACGCUGGCGUCAGGCUUAACACAUGCAAGUCGAGCGCCCCGCAAGGGGAGCGGCAGACGGGUGAGUAACGCGUGGGAAUCUACCCAUCUCUACGGAAUAACGCAUGGAAACGUGUGCUAAUACCGUAUACGUCCUUCGGGAGAAAGAUUUAUCGGAGAUGGAUGAGCCCGCGUUGGAUUAGCUAGUUGGUGGGGUAAAGGCCUACCAAGGCGACGAUCCAUAGCUGGUCUGAGAGGAUGAUCAGCCACACUGGGACUGAGACACGGCCCAGACUCCUACGGGAAGCAGCAGUGGGGAAUAUUGGACAAUGGGCGCAAGCCUGAUCCAGCCAUGCCGCGUGAGUGAUGAAGGCCCUAGGGUUGUAAAGCUCUUUCACCGGUGAAGAUAAUGACGGUAACCGGAGAAGAAGCCCCGGCUAACUUCGUGCCAGCAGCCGCCGUAAUAC
rnacentral:rRNA from 1 species